GUGGGCAGCAGGGGAGUACUCGUGUGAUAGUAAUGAGAGAAGCUUCAAGAAGAGGAAAUACCUAGAGGAAAAGUAGCCAUGCAACAAUGGGCCCAGCCACUCUGGAUGGGAAGACGGGUGAUCAAGUGAGAUCUGCAGCAAGUCCAGCAGUUCUCAUACCAAAGAUUCUGCUGUGCUUGAUGCCUGACCCUUUCUCAGUGAUGCAAAUGCAGAAUGCACCGAGAAGAGCUUUAUACAGGUAAAGAAAAUAAGGCACAAAGAGGUAACCUGAACCUGCUCAGCAUCACAGAAAGGUCACCAGCAGAACUGGCAAUACUGUUGAGUCCUUUUCAUUACCAAGGAAGUAGGUCAGC